AAUCCUCCAAGAGAGGUAUUUUAAUUCACAUUUUACAAAUGAAGAAAACGAAACCCAACUAGGUUAAAUGCCUAUAUCACAUAGUCAUAGAGCCGAUAUUACUGAGACUGUGUCACUACUGACUUCAAGGCUAGCUUUUUUGCAUGUGACGGUGAUCUGGCUGUGACAUCUAUCACCCCAUUAAUCACCACGGUUGACUCAGCUGAUCUGGCUGGCUAGGCCAGUGUCCCCGUCCUGCCUCACCCCUUCACGUGUGUCCUUCUUCAAGCUGCAAGCUCCAGCUCAUCGCAAAGGAUAUUGGAAGAAUUGCUCUCCUCUGCUAGAACCUUCAAACAAACUCUCAGGACUAGCUCUUUCUACCUCAACAAGAAUGGGAUGGCCUUCUGGACAGAUUAGUGAAGGUGCUGUGUCUUCUUUUUGGAUGCCUCCUGUAUGUCCAGGGAAACUCUGCAGAAAGGAAGCAAACUAGGAGAAAUUUAGGAUUGACAUUAGAGCAAGAAUCCUAUUCUCUCAUUCAAAAGCAGAAAAGUGAAAAGAAAAAGCUUUUGCCAGCCAAGUUCUGGAAGCAACAUGAAAUUUCUGCAUGAAGGAUUGAGGACUCUUUGUGUCUCUCAAGGCAGGAGGUUACCUUGAGUUGGUUAAAAGAGAGAAACAAGAGCCAAGGUCUGGAAAAGUGGAAGGAGGAGGUGAGGAUACCCCUGGCACAGAACCUGGAGAAAGAGCCCUCCAGGGUAUAGGACCUCAUGGAUGCCUGAGGGGGUGGUCUCUUUGACUUAAUAGCUGCCAGCUUCCCCUUCCCACAGGCCUGCCACCCCAGCCCACAGCACACAGGCUACUGCCAAGCAUCGUUAGAACUCAGAGCUGGGAUGAGGUCAAUAGGUGGGGUUGGCCGCCACCAUGCCCCCAACACCCACCUUCCUGCACUGCCACCAGACCCCCGCCAGGCAGGGGCGUGGCAGUGAGAACCCAUCCAUGGCGGCCGUAGGGAAUGUGACUGUAUAAGGUCAGGCUCCAAGGAUCCCCCCAAUCCCCCCCACCCUGACCACCGCCAUGCCUGCCUGCUCCAUUGCUGGUUCCAGGAGACUUCCCUUGACACAAAAUCAAAGAUAAAAUGAUUAAGAAUUUUAAGACUGCAACCACAGUGCAUUCAGCCCCAAGUGCAGGGCCCUCAACUGUACUAGUCACACACCCUGUUCCUCAGGCCAAAGAAAAGAGUGUGUUUGGCUGGAGUAUUCUUUGAAAGACCCCCUCAUCCCUGAAGGAAACCUAGUUAAGUGCAGAAGUGCUGACAGUGGAGGGGCUGAGGCAGCCUCGCCUCGAGUCCCUCCUGCUCCCUUUCCUUUCUGACAACAGACUCCAGCUCCACCCCUUUCCUUUCAGCCUCCCACUCCCCACCCACUGUUGGUCGACUGGUCUACCACUUGUCCACGCCAGGAAACACCGGGAUGUAAAUUCCUCAGGAUGAGACAUGAAGUCUAGCCCAUGUCAGCUCUGAGUGCAGUUUCCCAAGUUCCCUAGUCCCAGGGCUGCCAUACAGGAGCGCAGAAUGUGAAACUGUCCAUUAGUUUGCCCCUGAUGACCUGGGGGUGAAGUGCCGGGGCACAGGGAGAAGUGUGGCCCUCUGGGUAGCUGCCACCUGUAGAGGAUUAAGGAAGCCGAAUCUUUCUAUUUCCUAAAUUGGACUGCAGACUGUAGCCAAUGUACUUUCUCUUUGUAGUGGCUUCAAGUUGUGUCUGGGAUAGAGUCAGGGGUGUUUUUCUUGGACUGAAAGGCUUGCCUUGAGCAUCGUCCGGAUCAUAUUGCAGAGAGUUAUGCUCCAACUAGCUACAUCUGCUAAGAUGUACCUGGGGGGAGUUCCCCGGUGGUCCAGGGGGUAGGACUUGGAGCUUUCAAUGCCAUGGCCCUGGGUUCGAUACCCGGUCGGAGACCUGAGAUUCUGCAAGACUCGUGGAGCAGCUGGGGAAGAAAAAAAAAAAAGAUGUACUCUAGUUUUAUCAAGUAUCUUGGGGAGACUCUUCAACUUUAGCAGGCUGAGAAGAAACCCCACACCAGCUUUACUUGCAACUCUCAGCGCAUCAGCUGGAGUCUUCCCUUGGGGGAAUACACUGAUCUAUGCUCCUGAGGUCCCUUCCCAGGAAGUCAGGGGACAAACCAGCAGCACUCCCUGCCCUAUUCUCUGGUGCUAUUAGGAAGGCAUUUUCUUUUCAGCUGAGGACAAUCAGGCCCACCAGCAACAUCCAACUCAGUUCUGUUCAAUCCAGGCAGAGGAGCUGGGGUGAGGGAUGAACACCCUCAAUUCUAAACAGAGGUAGGUGAAAGGCAAAGCCUAGGGAGGCUUGGGUACUGGUUCACAGUAGACCCAGCUGGGCUCAGAGCAGCUCCAGGUUGGCAGCCAGUCCCCGGAGGAGGGAGGAGGAGUGGAAAGCGGGAGCACAGUUCAAGAUCCUGUUCUUCAUCUAUCCCACCCCUAACCCCGCCCCUGCCCCAUGCUGACCCCUCUCUGAGCCUCAGCCGGGAGUUGUGUAUUUAAAUGUCUCUGUCAAAGAAUGGAGACUGAGACUGUGGGUGACUAAGACCUUUCUAACAUACAUCUUUGAAGAGCUUUGAAGGGAAGCAGCCAAUCCCCCCUGCCCAACCCUGCCGGGUUUCCCAUUUCAAAUGACUAAGUCAUGACCCUUCUUAGCAAGACUUCAAAGAACCUGAUCAAAGAUAACAUUUAUAUUAAAUAAAACAGCACAUUUUUUCCUUUUUACUGUAAAGCUUGAAAUGAAAAACAGCCCUGUUUCAGCUCUCUGGCCAACAAAGCAUGGUGAAAACAGCAGAGAAGUGAUCCUUACAGGACAACCCUCACACACCCUCCCCCUACCUUUUUUGGAACUUGGUGGCCCCUACACUGAAUCUCUAACGUUAAAGAUGCUUUUUUCAGGUGCUCAUUAGGUCACUGGGCAAUCAUAAAUCCCCACCAAAGCUUGGGACUUCCCUGAAGGUCCAGUGGUUAGGGCUCUGCACUUCUACUGCAGG